rnacentral:rRNA from 1 species
UCUGGUAUUGAUUGGUGCUUGCAUCAUGAUUUACAUUUGAGUGAGUGGCGAACUGGUGAGUAACACGUGGGAAACCUGCCCAGAAGCGGGGGAUAACACCUGGAAACAGAUGCUAAUACCGCAUAACAACUUGGACCGCAUGGUCCGAGCUUGAAAGAUGGCUUCGGCUAUCACUUUUGGAUGGUCCCGCGGCGUAUUAGCUAGAUGGUGGGGUAACGGCUCACCAUGGCAAUGAUACGUAGCCGACCUGAGAGGGUAAUCGGCCACAUUGGGACUGAGACACGGCCCAAACUCCUACGGGAGGCAGCAGUAGGGAAUCUUCCACAAUGGACGAAAGUCUGAUGGAGCAACGCCGCGUGAGUGAAGAAGGGUUUCGGCUCGUAAAACUCUGUUGUUAAAGAAGAACAUAUCUGAGAGUAACUGUUCAGGUAUUGACGGUAUUUAACCAGAAAGCCACGGCUAACUACGUGCCAGCAGCCGCGGUAAUACGUAGGUGGCAAGCGUUGUCCGGAUUUAUUGGGCGUAAAGCGAGCGCAGGCGGUUUUUUAAGUCUGAUGUGAAAGCCUUCGGCUCAACCGAAGAAGUGCAUCGGAAACUGGGAAACUUGAGUGCAGAAGAGGACAGUGGAACUCCAUGUGUAGCGGUGAAAUGCGUAGAUAUAUGGAAGAACACCAGUGGCGAAGGCGGCUGUCUGGUCUGUAACUGACGCUGAGGCUCGAAAGUAUGGGUAGCAAACAGGAUUAGAUACCCUGGUAGUCCAUACCGUAAACGAUGAAUGCUAAGUGUUGGAGGGUUUCCGCCCUUCAGUGCUGCAGCUAACGCAUUAAGCAUUCCGCCUGGGGAGUACGGCCGCAAGGCUGAAACUCAAAGGAAUUGACGGGGGCCCGCACAAGCGGUGGAGCAUGUGGUUUAAUUCGAAGCUACGCGAAGAACCUUACCAGGUCUUGACAUACUAUGCAAAUCUAAGAGAUUAGACGUUCCCUUCGGGGACAUGGAUACAGGUGGUGCAUGGUUGUCGUCAGCUCGUGUCGUGAGAUGUUGGGUUAAGUCCCGCAACGAGCGCAACCCUUAUUAUCAGUUGCCAGCAUUAAGUUGGGCACUCUGGUGAGACUGCCGGUGACAAACCGGAGGAAGGUGGGGAUGACGUCAAAUCAUCAUGCCCCUUAUGACCUGGGCUACACACGUGCUACAAUGGAUGGUACAACGAGUUGCGAACUCGCGAGAGUAAGCUAAUCUCUUAAAGCCAUUCUCAGUUCGGAUUGUAGGCUGCAACUCGCCUACAUGAAGUCGGAAUCGCUAGUAAUCGCGGAUCAGCAUGCCGCGGUGAAUACGUUCCCGGGCCUUGUACACACCGCCCGUCACACCAUGAGAGUUUGUAACACCCAAAGUCGGUGGGGUAACCUUU